AACAGGAUGGCCUAGAGGUGAAGGCUUUGGACUUAAGAUACAAUGGACAAAUGUCCUUCUGAGUUUGAACCUCACUCCUGGUA